GAUGAACGCUGGCGGCGUGCCUAAUACAUGCAAGUCGAGCGAACAGACGAGGAGCUUGCUCCUCUGACGUUAGCGGCGGACGGGUGAGUAACACGUGGAUAACCUACCUAUAAGACUGGGAUAACUUCGGGAAACCGGAGCUAAUACCGGAUAAUAUAUUGCACCGCAUGGUUCAAUAGUGAAAGACGGUUUUGCUGUCACUUAUAGAUGGAUCCGCGCCGCAUUAGCUAGUUGGUAAGGUAACGGCUUACCAAGGCGACGAUGCGUAGCCGACCUGAGAGGGUGAUCGGCCACACUGGAACUGGGACGCGGUCCAGACUCCUACGGGAGGCAGCAGUAGGGAAUCUUCCGCAAUGGGCGAAAGCCUGACGGAGCAACGCCGCGUGAGUGAUGAAGGUCUUCGGAUCGUAAAACUCUGUUAUUAGGGAAGAACAAAUGUGUAAGUAACUAUGCACGUAUUGACGGUACCUAAUCAGAAAGCAACGGCUAACUACGUG
rnacentral:rRNA from 1 species